AGCGAACGCUGGCGGCAGGCCUAACACAUGCAAGUCGAACGAACCUUUCGGGGUUAGUGGCGGACGGGUGAGUAACACGUGGGAACGUGCCUUUAGGUUCGGAAUAACUCAGGGAAACUUGUGCUAAUACCGAAUGUGCCCUUCGGGGGAAAGAUUAAUCGCCUUUAGAGCGGCCCGCGUCUGAUUAGCUAGUUGGUUGAGGUAAUGGCUCACCAAGGCGACGAUCAGUAGCUGGUCUGAGAGGAUGAUCAGCCACAUUGGGACUGAGACACGGCCCAAACUCCUACGGGAGGCAGCAGUGGGGAAUCUUGCGCAAUGGGCGAAAGCAUGACGCAGCCAUGCCGCGUGAAUGAUGAAGGUCUUAGGAUUGUAAAAUUCUUUCAACGGGGACGAUAAUGACGGUACCCGGAGAAGAAGCCCCGGCUAACUUCGUG
rnacentral:rRNA from 1 species